UGCAAGUCGAACGGUAACGCGGGGGCAACCCUGGCGACGAGUGGCGGACGGGUGAGUAAUGCUUAGGAAUCUGCCCAGUAGUGGGGGACAACCGGAGGAAACUCCGGCUAAUACCGCAUAAGUCCUACGGGAGAAAGCGGGGGACCGAAAGGCCUCGCGCUAUUGGAUGAGCCUAAGCCCGAUUAGCUAGUUGGCGGGUAAUAGCCCACCAAGGCGAUGAUCGGUAGCUGGUCUGAGAGGAUGAUCAGCCACACUGGGACUGAGACACGGCCCAGACUCC
rnacentral:rRNA from 1 species